rnacentral:rRNA from 1 species
AUUGAACGCUGGCGGCAGGCCUAACACAUGCAAGUCGAGCGGCAGCGGGAAAGUAGCUUGCUACUUUUGCCGGCGAGCGGCGGACGGGUGAGUAAUGCCUGUGAAAUUGCCCAGUCGAGGGGGAUAACAGUUGGAAACGACUGCUAAUAACGCAUACGCCCUACGGGGGAAAGCAGGGGACCUUCGGGCCUUGCGCGAUUGGAUAUGCCCAGGUGGGAUUAGCUAGUUGGUGAGGUAAUGGCUCACCAAGGCGACGAUCCCUAGCUGGUCUGAGAGGAUGAUCAGCCACACUGGAACUGAGACACGGUCCAGACUCCUACGGGAGGCAGCAGUGGGGAAUAUUGCACAAUGGGGGAAACCCUGAUGCAGCCAUGCCGCGUGUGUGAAGAAGGCCUUCGGGUUGUAAAGCACUUUCAGCGAGGAGGAAAGGUAGAUGCCUAAUACGUAUCAACUGUGACGUUACUCGCAGAAGAAGUACCGGCUAACUCCGUGCCAGCAGCCGCAGUAAAAC